GUGAAGCGGCAACAGCUCAAAUUUGAAAUCUGGCUUCGGCCCGAGUUGUAAUUUGCAGAGGAAGCUUUAGGCGCGGCACCAACUGAGUCCCCUGGAACGGGGCGCCACAGAGGGUGAGAGCCCCGUAUAGUUGGACGCCUAGCCUGUGUAAAGCUCCUUCGACGAGUCGAGUAGUUUGGGAAUGCUGCUCAAAAUGGGAGGUAAAUUUCUUCUAAAGCUAAAUACCGGCCAGAGACCGAUAGCGCACAAGUAGAGUGAUCGAAAGAUGAAAAGCACUUUGAAAAGAGGGUUAAAUAGCACGUGAAAUUGUUGAAAGGGAAGCGCUUGUGACCAGACUUGCGCCCGGCUGAUCAUCCGGUGUUCUCACCGGUGCACUCUGCCGGGCUCAGGCCAGCAUCGGUUCUCGCGGGGGGAUAAAGGUCCUGGGAACGUAGCUCCUCCGGGAGUGUUAUAGCCCAGGGCGUCAUGCCCUCGCGGGGACCGAGGUUCGCGCAUCUGCAAGGAUGCUGGCGUAAUGGUCAUCAGCGACCCGUCUUGAAACACGGACCAAGGAGUCAAGGUUUUGCGCGAGUGUUUGGGUGUAAAACCCGCACGCGUAAUGAAAGUGAACGUAGGUGAGAGCUUCGGCGCAUCAUCGACCGAUCCUGAUGUUUUCGGAUGGAUUUGAGUAGGAGCGUUAAGCCUUGGACCCGAAAGAUGGUGAACUAUGCUUGGAUAGGGUGAAGCCAGAGGAAACUCUGGUGGAGGCUCGCAGCGGUUCUGACGUGCAAAUCGAUCGUCAAAUCUGAGCAUGGGG
rnacentral:rRNA from 1 species